rnacentral:rRNA from 1 species
CCUACGUGAGGCAGCAGUAGGGAAUCUUUCACAAUGGGCGAAAGCCUGAUGGAGCAACGCCGCGUGCAGGAUGAAGGCCUUCGGGUUGUAAACUGCUUUUAUAAGCGAGAAAUAUGAUGGUAACUUAUGAAUAAGGAUCGGCUAACUACUUGCCAGCAGCCGCGGUCAGACGUAGGAUCCGAGCAUUAUCCGGAGUGACUGGGUGAAAAGAGUUGCGUGGGUGGCAUAAAAAGUAGCUAGUGAAAUCUGGUGGCUCAAACAUUCAGACUAUUAGCUAAACUGUUAAGCUCGAGACCGUUAGGGGUAACUGGAAUUUCUAGUGGAGGAGUGAAAUCCGUAGAUAUUAGAAGGAACACCAAUAGCGUAGGCAGGUUACUGGGACGGUUCUGACACUAAGGCACGAAAGCGUAGGGAGCAAACGGGAUUAGAUACCCGUGUUAGUC